UCCGAGUUCAACAACGCAUUCGUCUUCAUAUUUGCUUGUUCUUCACGUUAUUCCUUUCCUCCGUGCUGGACAUCUUAUGGAAGCGAGUGGUGGACUUGGAAAUGUUAGCCAGUCCUUUGAACAACUUUGUGAAAACGUCGCCAGACGCUUGCAAGUUCCUAAACAUGAGUUCCAGAUUUACAAGAGCAUCUUCAUUUUUCUGGAUGUUUUGCGAAGGAUUUCAGCUUCACUGGCUGAUGGUCAAGGCUUUUAAGCCGAUUGGAUCCAUCAUACCAUUCCUGCUUGUUGGCUGGGGAAUUCCUGGUGUCUUGGUAGUCAUUUACGUCAUCAUUAGAGUCGUAGACACUGAGGACAG